ACGGGUGAGUAAUGUCUGGGGAUCUGCCCGAUAGAGGGGGAUAACCACUGGAAACGGUGGCUAAUACCGCAUAACGUCGCAAGACCAAAGAGGGGGACCUUCGGGCCUCUCACUAUCGGAUGAACCCAGAUGGGAUUAGCUAGUAGGCGGGGUAAUGGCCCACCUAGGCGACGAUCCCUAGCUGGUCUGAGAGGAUGACCAGCCACACUGGAACUGAGACACGGUCCAGACUCCUACGGGAGGCAGCAGUGGGGAAUAUUGCACAAUGGGCGCAAGCCUGAUGCAGCCAUGCCGCGUGUAUGAAGAAGGCCUUCGGGUUGUAAAGUACUUUCAGCGGGGAGGAAGGCGAUGGGGUUAAUAACCUUAUCGAUUGACGUUACCCGCAGAAGAAGCACCGGCUAACUCCGUGCCAGCAGCCGCGGUAAUACGGAGGGUGCAAGCGUUAAUCGGAAUUACUGGGCGUAAAGCGCACGCAGGCGGUCUGUUAAGUCAGAUGUGAAAUCCCCGGGCUUAACCUGGGAACUGCAUUUGAAACUGGCAGGCUUGAGUCUUGUAGAGGGGGGUAGAAUUCCAGGUGUAGCG
rnacentral:rRNA from 1 species